CGACAGGCUUAACACAUGCAAGUCGAGGGGCAUCGGGAACGAUAGCAAUAUUGUUUGCCGGCGACCGGCGCACGGGUGAGUAACGCGUAUGUAACCUGCCUAUCAGAGUGGGAUAGCCCAUCGAAAGAUGGAUUAAUACCGCAUAAAACAGGGGUCCCGCAUGGGAAUAUUUGUUAAAGAUUUUAUCGCUGAUAGAUGGGCAUGCGUUCCAUUAGCUAGUUGGUGAGGUAACGGCUCACCAAGGCAUCGAUGGAUAGGGGUUCUGAGAGGAAGGUCCCCCACACUGGUACUGAGACACGGACCAGACUCCUACGGGAGGCAGCAGUGAGGAAUAUUGGUCAAUGGGCGAGAGCCUGAACCAGCCAAGUCGCGUGAAGGAUGACUGCCCUAUGGGUUGUAAACUUCUUUUAUAGGGGAAUAAAACAGAGGACGUGUCCUUUCUUGUAUGUACCUUAUGAAUAAGCAUCGGCUAACUCCGUGCCAGCCGCCGCCGUAAAAC
rnacentral:rRNA from 1 species